GUGCUUGCUUCAGCAGCACAGAUACUAAAAUUGGAGUGAUAUAGAGAGGAUUGACAUGGCCCCUGCACAAGGAUAGCAUGCAAAUUCAUGAAGCAUUCUGUAUUUAA